AUAUAUAUAUAUGAGAAAUGAUGUAUACCAAAGUUGUGUCAAAAUACAAGACAAUUAUGACAGCAGACUUAGCUCUACUUGUAUUUACUAUUGUGUUGAUUGUAUAAGAAUGUCUGGACUUAGGUUGAAAAUGAAGAUGCACAUGUUACAAAAUCUUUCCUCACAUUUGUAUAUCUGCUGAUUUCUCUCCCUGCUUUAUUUUCCACAAACUUGCAGCAGGCCGUGUCUUGCCUGGUGAAGCUGCUAAGUCCUCACAGACUAGCAGCAGGAACGUCCUUCUUGAUCAAGUCCAUCUCAUGUGUACAUACUGCCCUUUGAAAACUGAAGUGAUGUAUAGGCACAGAGGGUGGCAUUACUUAUUGGAGCCAUCCACUGAAGCAUAGUUUUGUGUCUUAUUUUUUGCUUCCACUUGUGUGUAUCCAUUUCACUGUAGUAUACAGUGAACAUAGUGCCCAGACAAACCUGUCAUGAUGUUCUGUCAGAUCUGUAUGCUUCAAGUGAAAGAUUGCAUUAACACAGGAAGUUUUAGUAAAAGAUUUGCUCUUCAAUGGGUGGGGCUAAUAAUCAGACCAUCCAAUGUAAAUAUCCAUCAUGAUAAAUUAUUUUAGACAAUUGGGUAUGUGUGUGUGUGGGGUUGACUCUGUGGAGGUGCACACAGGUCAGAAGUCCCCAAGAGGUGCCAUCACACAGCCAUGCUGACUGGACAGGACGGCACACUAAGACAAGGGAUCGCUUUGGGAAACAGUCACUUGCUUUUCUUGAUGUAAAGAGUCUGUUGGCUAAAACAAAAUCUUCCUCCCCCAGCAUGUCAUCUGAAGACAGUUGACCUGUCAGCACAAAAGAUAACUUUAUAAAAGAAUGAGAAAGAGAUGGAAUUAAUGAAGUAAGGAGUGAGAGCCUGUAGUAAAGUUUCCUACACAAAGGGCUGCCAGUCCUGCCACCUCAAGUCCUUGAAUGUUGAUGUCAAUUCCACCUCAUUCUGAUUUGUUAUGUUUUGUUUUCAGAAUGAAGGAAAAUGUAGUAGUAUUUUUUUGUUAUCCUUACAAAAAUGGGACAAGAUAAGGUUAACUUACUGUUUGUUAAUUUCUGAACUUGCAGUGCAUUGCUCUGAAGAUAUUGUAAUAUCAGUCAUUGAAUGUUGCUCUUGGAAUCAGUCAUAUAUAUCUGGAUUCUUCCCCAAUUCAUAACUGUCUGCAGGAAGAUCUUUGAUUCUAAAUAAUGUAUAGCAAGAUGAAAACCAUUGGGAAACUACUAAAGUGUCAAGAGAAGACUUAUCAUAAAGCAAACAAAGCCAGGCUGCUAGACUAGAGGAAGAAGUCCCUGGUGAGCACCUUACCUUGGUAAUGCAGGAAUUGGUGUCUGCAUGGUGGUGGAUCUAACAAAAUCCCUUGUGCUGUGGUCUUGAGAAGAGUCAGCACAUAUCCUACUCUAGAUCCCCGUAUCUUAACAAGGAGGGUAGUGGCACGUCCUCUUAUUACUAGUGUUUACAUCAUGUCUUGCGUCUCUAAUGCUCAUAUCAUUUGAAUUAUAAUCUAUUCGAAUGAAUGUAUAAUUAAUUUGUUAUAAAAUAAAUGUAUUUUUAAAUAUGUUGAAUACCUGUUGACCUUUGUUUCUCCUUCUGACAUCACUGAAGAAAAGGAUGUACAAUUGGGAUCUAACUGCUGUUUUAGAUUAUACUUAGUAACUGAAAUAAGACCUUAUGUGGGGUAAUGAACAAAAUAUGUCCAUAGUUGAUAAAUAAGGUAAUAAAACUGCAUCAUGUUCCAUAGCCUCUAACAUCCUCAGAAAGCUGGAUUUGAAUGUGGUACUUGAUAUGAGCCUGUUGUAGAUACCUCGCUGGAGGACAGACAAGCUAUGACAUAAGUUUUGGUACUGCCCACUACAUACUGGAGCUGAGUCACAGUGAUCCCUGCAUCCUUCCUUUACUCAUUACACGUGUGUAAUAAAUCUAAAGUCAGAUUGUAGUUAAAUAGUAAUUAUUUCUCAAUAAUGAAAUGUUCUUAUCAAAUCUCUGACAUUGUGUGCAAUAGCUGUGCGUAGUUAGAUAUCUUGCAAUAGUUGACAGUUGGAAAGGUUUUGAUUCGUUGAUUGAGCACAAGAGUGUUGGUAUCUGUUUUGCACGAAAAUUGUUGGAUGCAUAGAGGCAUUUAUCAGGGAGUUCCAGUUUUGCAGAUCACCAGGAAGUUUUUGGUGAUACAACGCUUGCCAGGAAUGGCUGAUCUGCACCACAUAAGUGAUUUGUCAGUAAGGGAAAAGUACGUACAGUGCACACACCUAAUAAAAUAAAUGAAUAAAAGAAAGAAGGAAAGAAUAUCGUGUUUCUUAGUUAUUUGAUGACACAUAUUGAUUGUGGUACAAAUAAUUAAAAAAAAAAAACAUUGGUAAAAUAAACUACAGUUUACUGCUACUACUACUACUACUACUACUACUACUACUACUACUGCUGCUGCUGCUAAUAAUAAUAAUAAUAAUAAUAAUAAUAAUAAUAGUAAUGCAGUCGAUCAAAGCAAAGUGAACUUUAAAAAAUCUCUGGAGUUCCUUGGGCUUCCAAAUAUUAUAAAAAUUGGGCUUCAAAAAUUUCUUUGGACGUAUUUUGACAAGAAUAAGCAUACCGUAUUAAUACAUAAUUGUGACUUGCGUGCUGUAUUAAUAUUAAUAUGCGAAGGGAAAAAAAAAAAUGGUCACUUCUCUGCGUUGCUAUCUUGAAAACCGUCCCUCUUGCGAGAUUAAUAUGUUUGUCUCCUUCAUCACAUCUUGACAGACUGAACGUGCGCACCUCUUCAAUUCAUCGACAAUGGAGCAGCCAAAGCCUGGUCAAAGGUAAUUUGGCAGCACUAGUGUCAAAUUGUGGUUCCUGAAUGGCUGGGCCGUGUCCGGCAAGUCUGAGUUGCCAGUUGUAUUUUGGACAUCCAGCAGCACACUUGCUUUCAGACACCUGUGGCAAGUGCAAGACAAAGAGGUGAGAAUGGAGGAUGCUGUAACAUUCACAGCGUAACUAGUGUAAGUUUUAUUUUUUGUGAAAGGUGUAGGUAGUGUACAUAGUUUCAACCAUAGGAUUGUAUACAUGUCAUCAUAUUCAUAGACUUCAUGACUUGACAUUGUGUUCACCUUUGUGUGGAUCAAGUAAUUUAUUUUCAUGUACAUGUUUAUUUAGUAACAGUUUAGUUGAACUUGAUUUGUAUAUGUUACAAGAGAUCUUGCAUUAUGAAGAUUUACUUAAAGUUCUUAGUGCAGCCUUUGUUUAUCAGCAUCAUUUAGUUCAGUCAGUUUUUGUCAGCCAUCUAAUUCAUGCACUCCUUUAUUUUGCUCAUGGUGUCAGUUCAAAGCCUGCAUACUAAUCCCCUACUACUUGAGCCAUCUCUCUAGGCACACUCACACUUCCAUCUCACUGUGUUCUCUUUCAGUCUAAAGUCCUUUCACUUUUUAAUUAUUGGUCCAGAUUUUACAAACAUGAAGCUUUGCAUUUUCUACAGAUGAAAGUUCACAGUCAUAACUGCAAGGUCUCUGUGCAGUUGUUGUAGUCAGGUGUGGUAGUUAUUUCUUUCCAUAAAUGUCUUAUUUA
rnacentral:lncRNA from 1 species